GGAGGCUGCCAGCACUGCGGUGCCAGAGUGUUUGCCUUCAGUGGUAGAAACCUGAAUCUUUUGUUUAUCUUCGUUGAACACUGACUCCGGUUCCAAACGUUUCUGGACGAUCAAGAUUACCUACGUUUGGUGGAUUUCAUUUCGAUUUUGUUUCCAAGGACCAAGCCGGCAGCUUCCUGUUUUCCUCCGUCUUCUGAACCAAGGCAUAAGCGUACCCUGUCCACCCUCCAACUUAAGUACCUGAACAUUGAUUUAACUCCUGAACUCACCAGAACUCAUUCUACAGCUCAAGUAGAACCAUCUGGAUUUCUCCGCCUCGCACACCUGGACCCCGACUCCCUCUACCCCUGGUGACCAGAUUGCACUUGUUUAUUGGUGAUACGCCCGUUCAAGUUCCAGACUCACUUGCUGUAAAUAAACACCUUUCACUGAUUUAGCUGUUUCCUCAGAGUGUAGCUCUCCACCCACAGCUAAGAUUCCACCUCAACGAUCUGCCUCUGAACCUGAGCCCAUGCUGGUGGGGCGCACCUGUUUAACUUUUGAAGAAAGACAGACGCAAACUAACCAAGCAGUGUUUUUACUGCGGCUCACCUGAUCACUUCGUAGCAACUUGUCCUAUUUGCCCCGGGCAGCCAAAAGACAGGGUCCACCAACUAUGAAGGGGGGGUUGGUGGACCACUCGCAGAAUUGUAAAGCCCCCAGAUUCAGCCUACCAGCUACUAUCAUAUUUAAUCAACAUACUUUGACUCUGUCUGCCAUGUUAGAUUCAGGCAGCGAACAGAACUUAAUAGAUUCCAAGUUAGUCAUCAGAGCAGGCAUUGAGGUGGAACCACUUACUUUUCCUCGUUCCGUUCUAGCUUUAGACGGAAAGAAAUUGCAGCAGAUAACCCAGCGUACUAAACCACUAGAACUUCUACUGUCAGGUAACCAUAGGGAAGUUAUAUCUUUUUUUGUGUUUCCAGUGUCUCAGGGUUUCAUAGUUCUUGGCUUCACUUGGUUACAGAAACAUAACCCUCAUUUAGAUUGGUCUGAGUCUCGCAUCAAGUCCUGGUCCACUAGUUGUCACUCAUCUCGUCUCCAGUCAGCUUUCUCCCCAAGUUUCCCCGAGCAGGUUAACAGGGAUGACGAGGUUAUAGAUUUGUCUCAUGUGCCCACUGAGUACCAUGAUUUAAGAGGAGUCUUUAGUAAGUGUUGGGACCCAGCCAUGGAAACAACAUUUAAAAACUCCGGUACACACUUUACUGGAACUUUCAAAAUAAAUUGCAUUAACUGACUUCCAGCAACUGAGGAAAGGGGGGUAGCAGCAGACUUCCCAUGAUGCCACUGUCUGAAUAAGAGCACCCCCUCUCCAACAAGCCAACCUCUUCCACUGUUCCUCUUCGCGGGACCGGAAUCGGAGAGGCAGCGCGUUGAUGUCUCUUUGCUAGAAAAACGACAUAACUCUUCAACUGGACCCAAGAGUGUCAUAAGAUCAGACAAUCAUAUGCACCAGUUAAGUACUAGUGAAUAACUGUUUGUGUAUCCAGUAUUCAUUCAUAAAAAGGGGAAAUUAAGGUAUAAGCAUUGCCUGACUUUCUUUCUGAGGCCUGCAGAAGCAAACAGUGUUCCAGAGAA